rnacentral:rRNA from 1 species
UACGUAGGGUGCGAGCGUUAAUCGGAAUUACUGGGCGUAAAGCGUGCGCAGGCGGUUUUGUAAGUCUGACGUGAAAUCCCCGGGCUUAACCUGGGAAUUGCGUUGGAGACUGCAAGGCUGGAGUCUGGCAGAGGGGGUAGAAUUCCACGUGUGAGCAGUGAAAUGCGUAGAGAUGUGGAGGAACACCGAUGGCGAAGGCAGCCCCCUGGGUCAAGACUGACGCUCAUGCACGAAAGCGUGGGGAGCAAACAGGG